rnacentral:lncRNA from 1 species
CUUCAGUAGUUUCUCGUUGCAUACCCCUACUCUACCCACCCCACUCUAGCCCUUUUAUAUAGACUUGGCCAUUGUGCUUGUUAAAGACUUCACAGAAUCUUGACAUCCCGACAACUCUUUUUAUUUCUCACUGAUCAAAAUAUUUUUAAUUUCUCGAUAUUUCUGAUAUUCAUUGUUUCUUGAUUUAUGGAUAAAGGAUGGGGUCCCACGACUCUCGCCCUUGAAAGUUCUGGGUUUUUUACUAACAAGCCAGUUUUUGGAUUUAAUUUAAGCCCAAGGAUGAAUCAAAGCCCUGGAUUUAUUGGUUUUUUCCCCCCUUUAUUAAAUAGACUGGUUUGCAACUUCUUACCGCAAACACUGGAAGUGAUCAAUCAACGGUAGACGAUGGGAUUUCAUCCGAUAUCGAAGAUAAGAAAGCAAAAAAGGAGGUGAGAAAAUGCAUGCUCUAUAGACAAAUUGUUGAAUAUUUAUUCAUUAGGUUUUGAUUUCUAAAUUCUCUUCUUCUUCUUUUUUCCCUUUUUCUCUCUCUAAUAGCUAGCAGAAUUACAAGUUGAACUCGAAAGAAUGAACGCCGAAAAUCACAAGUUAAAAGGGAUGCUUACUCAGGUCACCAACAAUUACAGUACNN